UACGAAGGGGGCUAGCGUUGCUCGGAAUCACUGGGCGUAAAGCGCACGUAGGCGGAUCGUUAAGUCAGGGGUGAAAUCAUGGAGCUCAACUCCAGAACUGCCUUUGAUACUGGCGAUCUUGAGUUCGGGAGAGGUGAGUGGAACUGCGAGUGUAGAGGUGAAAUUCGUAGAUAUUCGCAAGAACACCAGUGGCGAAGGCGGCUCACUGGCCCGAUACUGACGCUGAGGUGCGAAAGCGUGGGGAGCAAACAGG
rnacentral:rRNA from 1 species